rnacentral:rRNA from 1 species
UACAGAGGUGCCAAGCGUUAGGCGGAAUCACUGGGCUUAAAGCGCGUGUAGGUGGCCGGGUAAGUAUCUUGUGAAAUCCCACGGCUCAACCGUGGAACUGCUGGAUAUACUGCUUGUCUUGAGGCACUUAGGGGCAGCUGGAACAAAUGGUGGAGCGGUGAAAUGCGUAGAUAUCAUUUGGAACGCCAAAGGCGAAAGCAGGCUGCUGGGAGUGAUCUGACACUGAGACGCGAAAGCCAGGGGAGCAAACGGG